GUGAGCUGAUAUUGGACUGAGGCGAGAGAAAGCGACGUUAAUCUUCCAAGCUCAAGGCAGCUACAGACAUUAAAUUCAGAGAAGUUUUACUUUAUAGAGAUUAAAGAUGCUUCUGAUCCUCCUGAUACAACUCCUGAUCGUUGCAUCAGCAAAUGCCCAGUCAUCCACUGUAGCAGUUACAACUGCUGGUGCCAUGACCACUGCUGGUGCCAUGACCACUCCUGGUGCCACGACUACUCCUGUUGCCACCACUCCUGGUGCCACGACUACUCCUGUUGCCACGACCACUGCAGGAGCAACAACCACCGGAGUGAUAACGACCACAAAUGCCACUAACACUGCUGCUGCUACACAUGCUGGGAUCAUAUCCAUGAGCAGUCUGGUGUUCUGUCACUUCAGUGUUGUUCUCUUCAAGUUCCUCUGUACAGUGUGACUUGGUUGAACUGUUUUUUAACAUGUUUAUCAUUAGUAACAAAGUAUAUAAUUUAUAUUUAGAUACACAGA